ensembl:lncRNA
CCAGCGCCUUGGCUUUCCUAAUCCUAUCUCUACACACACGGACAAUAGCCCUCUAUUCCUCCCAGGACACACUACCCUGCUUCCACCUGCUACACAUUUCCCCCUUUUUCUCUCAGUUUUAGCUGCAGGUCCUUGCACAGCCACGACAGUCGCCUGCCUCCCCUGCUCGACUUCUUCUUUUGGAAGAUGGAGAGCAGUUGUGCUCUCAGAAAGGUGUCCUUCCAGAGCUGCCAGCUCUGUUCUGCACCCAUGCCCAUAAGGACAGCUUCCUCGGGGAUCUCACUCAGCAGUUCCUUGAGCAGCAGGAAGUUUGCUCUCCUAAAGCACAUGGUCCUAGCUCUGUUUUUUGCCAGGCCCGCAUUCUUCAAGAUCACAAACUCCACCAAGGCAUGGUCACUGCAGCCCAGGCUGCCUCCAAUCUUAACGUCUCUAAUGCUUUUCUCUUCAUUAGUGAGAACCAGGUCCAGUAAGGCUUCACCUCAGAUGGGUCCAUCUAUUACCUGGACCAGGAAGUUGUCCUCGACAGAUUCCAGGAAUCUCCUGGAUUGUCUGCCACCCACCACGCCACUAUCCCAGCAGAUAUCCAGGUGCUUGAAAUCCCCCAUCAGGACAAGAGCCUGCAAGCUCGACACCUCCUGCAGCUGAAGCAAGAAGGCCUCAUCCACAGCCUCCUCCUGAUCAGGUGGCCUGCAGCAGACCCCAGCCACUAGGUGCCCUUUGCUGGACCGAUCCUUGAUUUUUACCCACAAACUCUCCACUUGAUCGUGGCUGUUCCUCAGACACAGCUCUUCACAAUUUAUCCACUUCCUAACAUAGAGGGCAACUCCCCCACCCCUCCUAGCCUGUCUAUCCCUUCUGAAAAGCCUGUAGUCCUCAAUCAGGGUAUUCCAAUUGUGGGAUUCAUCCCACCAUGUUUCUGUGAUAGCAAUUAGGUCACACUUGCCAAAUUGCGCCACGGUUUCUAGCUCCUCCCAUUUAUUUCCCAUGCUGCGCGCAUUGGUAUAGAGGCAGUUCAGCUUGGCUAUUGGCCUCGUUGCCUUAUCAGACGAGACCUCCCUAAUACCUGCAGGACAAGUCUGGGGUUUUCCCUUACCACCUCCCAGGGUGACAGCGUUCCCAUGCGCUUCUCUGUCAUCCAGUACACCCCUUCCCCCAUCAUAUCUAUCGUAAAGCCCUGCUAACCAGCCCAGCCAACUUGUUCCCAAGAAUAUUUGUGGCCCUUCUAGUCAGUCGGCUCCCAUCCACCGUCAGCAUUCCUCCUUUCUCAAGACUGUGUCCCAAGCCAUAGUACCCACAGCCCUGAGCACGACACCAUUCGCUAAGCCGAUCAUUCAGUGUGUCCACCCUCUUCCUUUUGCGUGGGUCCCAGUCACCAACUGAGAGGACAGAGGAAAACACAACUUGUGCUCCCGAUCCCUUCAGAAGUCUUCCCAGAGCCCUGAAGUCCCUUUUGAUUGCCCAAGGACUUCUUUUGCCUACUUCUUUAUUUCCGAUGCAGAAAACCAGUAGUGGAUAAUAAUCGGAGGGCUUAUCAAGGAGAGUGAUGUUCUUAGCAACAUCUCUCACCUGGGCACCAGGCAGGCAACACACCUCCCUGUGGGACGGAUCUGAGAGGCAUAUCAGGCCCUCGGUUC